UACAGACUAUGGUCAAGUCCAAUUUUCUUCAAUGAUCGCCCUCAUCGUUGCAUCUACCAAUAUAUAGUUAUUGUUUUGAUUUGAUCGUUUCAAUUUUGUUGGCUUCUUUCAGAUUUUGUAGUCUCUCCUGACAAACAGAUGGGUUCUGAGAUCCACAGCUACCCGGAAUCAGUGUGGAGCCGUUUUCUGCUGAGCCUCGUCAGAAGGAUCCGACUGCGGACCUCCAGAGACUGGAAAGCAGCUCACCUCCAGAAAUGGGAAUAUCCUGCUAACACCUGCACGCUGCAAAGAAAAAUACAAGUUUACCAAGGAUGUUUAAGUCCUUGUGUUUUGAAACGUGAAGCAAGUCGUGGACCUGAAAAAUAGAACAAGGGGGGGGGGUUUGAAUGACUUUGUUCUGCAUGUGUUCAGAUGGCAUGAGACUCGUGAAGGCGUUUGUCACCAAGGAGUUGCAGGCGCUUCAUAGCAGGAGAUGGAAGCUCAUCCCGAGGAUGUGAAUGAACGAGCCAGUUCCUUUUCCAGGUCUGUUAGUUGCUUCGC